CAUGCUUAGUAGCGGCGAGUGAAGCGGCAAAAGCUCAAAUUUGAAAUCUGGCACCUUCGGUGUCCGAGUUGUAAUUUGAAGAUUGUAACCUUGGGGUUGGCUCUUGUCUAUGUUUCUUGGAACAGGACGUCACAGAGGGUGAGAAUCCCGUGCGAUGAGAUGCCCAAUCCUAUGUAAGGUGCUUUCGAAGAGUCGAGUUGUUUGGGAAUGCAGCUCUAAGUGGGUGGUAAAUUCCAUCUAAAGCUAAAUAUUGGCGAGAGACCGAUAGCGAACAAGUACAGUGAUGGAAAGAUGAAAAGAACUUUGAAAAGAGAGUGAAAAAGUACGUGAAAUUGUUGAAAGGGAAGGGUUUGAGAUCAGACUCGAUAUUUUGUGAGCCUUGCCUUCGUGGCGGGGUGACCCGCAGCUUAUCGGGCCAGCAUCGGUUUGGGCGGUAGGAUAAUGGCGUAGGAAUGUGACUUUGCUUCGGUGAAGUGUUAUAGCCUGCGUUGAUGCUGCCUGCCUAGACCGAGGACUGCGA
rnacentral:rRNA from 1 species